rnacentral:rRNA from 1 species
UACGGGGGGAGCAAGCGUUGUUCGGAUUUACUGGGCGUAAAGGGCGCGUAGGCGGUCAGCACAAGUCAGUUGUGAAAUCUCCGGGCUUAACUCGGAAAGGUCAACUGAUACUGUGCGACUAGAGUGCGGAAGGGCAACUGGAAUUCUCGGUGUAGCGGUGAAAUGCGUAGAUAUCGAGAGGAACACCUGCGGCGAAGGCGGGUUGCUGGGCCGACACUGACGCUGAUGCGCGAAAGCCAGGGGAGCGAACGGG